UGAGGAAUAUUCGGCAAUGGGGGAAACCCUGACCGAGCGACGCCGCGUGCAGGAAGACGGCCUUCGGGUUGUAAACUGCUUUUAUUUGGGAAGAUUAUGACGGUACCAAAUGAAUAAGGGCCGGCUAACUACGUGCCAGCAGCCGCGGUAAUACGUAGGGCCCAAGCGCUAUCCGGAAUCACUGGGCGUAAAGAGUUUGUAGGCGGCAAUUUAAGUGAAGUGCGAAAUCCUAGGGCUCAACCUUAUGGACUGUAUUUCAAACUGGAUUGCUAGAGGUAGGCAGAGGUUAGCGGAAUUUGCGGUGUAGGAGUGAAAUCCGUAGAUAUCGCAAGGAACACCAAUGGCGAAGGCAGCUAACUGGGCCUUACCUGACGCUGAGAAACGAAAGCGUGGGGAGCGAACGGG
rnacentral:rRNA from 1 species